CCUACGGGUGGCAGCAGUGGGGAAUAUUGCGCAAUGGGCGAAAGCCUGACGCAGCGACGCCGCGGGAGGGAUGAAGGUCUUCGGAUCGUAAACCUCUGUCAGCAGGGAAGAACGGUCACUGUGCUAAUCAGCAGUGAAUUGACGGUACCGGCAAAGGAAGAACAGGCUAACUCCGUGCCAGCAGCCGCGGUAAUACGGAGGGUGCGAGCGUUAAUCGGAAUUACUGGGCGUAAAGCGCUCGUAGGCAGUAUGUCAAGUCAAGGGUGAAAUCCCCGCGCUCAACGUGGGAACUGCCUUUGAAACUGGCAAACUGGUGUGUGUGAGAGGCUAGUGGAAUUCCAGGUGU
rnacentral:rRNA from 1 species